UACAGAGGGUGCGAGCGUUGUUCGGAAUUACUGGGCGUAAAGCGCGCGCAGGCGGAUCCUGCAAGUCCGGAGUGAAAUCUCACCGCUCAACGGUGAGGCUGCUUUGGAUACUGCGGAUCUGGAGACCGGUAGAGGCUGGUAGAAUUGCAGGUGUAGCGGUGGAAUGCGUAGAGAUCUGCAAGAAUACCCGUGGCGAAGGCGGCCAGCUGGGCCGGUUCUGACGCUGAGGAGCGAAAGCGUGGGGAGCGAACAGG
rnacentral:rRNA from 1 species